rnacentral:rRNA from 1 species
GUCCACGCCUUAAACGAUGUAUGCUUGGUGUUGGGUCGCAAGACUCAGUGCCGGAGGAAACCUAUUAAGCAUACCACCUGGGGAGUACGAUCGCAAGGUUGAAACUCAAAAGGAAUUGACGGGGCCCGCACAAGCGGUGGAUCAUGUGGUUUAAUUCGAUGCAACGCGAAGAACCUUACCCGGGCUCGAAGUGCAGGUAGUAAAGAGAUGAAAAGUCAAAAUGAACCGUUAAGUCGGUUGCCUGCAGAGGUGCUGCAUGGCUGUCGU